rnacentral:rRNA from 1 species
GAUGAACGCUGGCGGCGUGCCUAAUACAUGCAAGUCGAGCGAACAGAUGAGGAGCUUGCUCCUCUGACGUUAGCGGCGGACGGGUGAGUAACACGUGGAUAACCUACCUAUAAGACUGGGAUAACUUCGGGAAACCGGAGCUAAUACCGGAUAAUAUAUUGAACCGCAUGGUUCAAUAGUGAAAGACGGUUUUGCUGUCACUUAUAGAUGGAUCCGCGCCGCAUUAGCUAGUUGGUAAGGUAACGGCUUACCAAGGCAACGAUGCGUAGCCGACCUGAGAGGGUGAUCGGCCACACUGGAACUGAGACACGGUCCAGACUCCUACGGGAGGCAGCAGUAGGGAAUCUUCCGCAAUGGGCGAAAGCCUGACGGAGCAACGCCGCGUGAGUGAUGAGGGUCUUCGGAUCGUAAAACUCUGUUAUUAGGGAAGAACAAAUGUGUAAGUAACUAUGCACGUCUUGACGGUACCUAAUCAGAAAGCCACGGCUAACUACGUG